AACGAACGCUGGCGGCAUGCCUAACACAUGCAAGUCGAACGGGACCUUCGGGUCUAGUGGCGCACGGGUGCGUAACGCGUGGGAAUCUGCCCUUGGGUUCGGAAUAACAGUUAGAAAUGACCGCUAAUACCGGAUAAUGUCUUCGGACCAAAGAUUUAUCGCCCAGGGAUGAGCCCGCGUAGGAUUAGCUAGUUGGUGAGGUAAAGGCUCACCAAGGCGACGAUCCUUAGCUGGUCUGAGAGGAUGAUCAGCCACACUGGGACUGAGACACGGCUCAGACUCCUACGGGAGGCAGCAGUGGGGAAUAUUGGACAAUGGCGAAAGCCUGAUCCAGCAAUGCCGCGUGAGUGAUGAAGGCCUUAGGGUUGUAAAGCUCUUUUACUGGGGAUGAUAAUGACAGUACCCAGAGAAUAAGCUCCGGCUAACUCCGUGCCAGCAGCCGCGGUAAU
rnacentral:rRNA from 1 species